AGAAGAAGAAAGAGAGGGAGAGAGAGGGCAAUUUAAAAAGCGUAUGUAGGUGUUUGCCUGGCCCAACAGCUUACCUAUAGUAUUUAGUGCAUGUGUAUCAGGGUCUGGGAGGAAAAGCACCACCAGGCAUGACGCGGGUCAGGGCAGGGCAUGACUGGGACUUCCCUGUGUGGUCUCUGCCUGCACAGGUCCUUUGGGCUCUGGUGGGGGACCAGGCCUGGGUAGGCAGCACCACUAGCUAUUCUCUGCCCCUCCUUGGUGGCCCUGCAGAGGGUGUGGGUCAGUCCCCUGCAAUAACCUGGCCCCUGUGCAAAGGUGUUUUUCAGAGGCAUCACUGUGAACGCGGUGCGGGGCUUCCCAAUGAGUGCGGCCAUGUUCCUUGGGUACGAGCUGUCGCUGCAGGCUAUCCGCGGGGACCACACAGUGACGAGCCCAUGAGCGCCAGGUCUUUGCUCAGGCUGUCCCCUCUGCCUGACAUCCUCUUCUCGCUCCUUUCCUACUUGUCCUUGGCUUCACCAGCUCUUUGCCAUCCAGGCUGUAGAAGUCUCCUCCUCCAGGAUGCCGGCUUGCUUUCUCAGCUAGGGGUCUCAUCCCAUUAACAGGUCAAUGCUAAAAGUGUCUGCAGAACCCAUGAUGUGAAUUUACUGAAGAGAAAGACUCUCCACCAGGUGGGCUUUCAGCCAGGCAGGCUGUCCUCAGAACCUCUUCCUUCCUUCACAAUUACAAGCAUUCUCAUCCCCACCCCGGCUGGGGCAGCGGAGCUUCUGCCUUGGAGGGAUUCAACUGACCAUUGGUCAACUGAUCACCAACUAUUCCAGCUUUGGACCUGCACCUGGUAACAAACAAACGAACAGAACAAAACAAAACUGGAGUAAAAUAGACCCUCCCCCCAUGGCCAUUGUAAACUCACUGUGAAUUCAUGGAAGAGCUGGAGUUGGCUCUAAGUUUCAAAAUAAAAGCAUUAAAAACCUCUUCACAUUGUUUCUCUGUCAGAUGCCUCUGCCUAGCUUCCAAGAAGCACCUGGCCACUGUCAUUCCUCUCUCUCUGUUCAGGCCUCUGUGGGUGUUGCAG
rnacentral:lncRNA from 1 species